AACGAACGCUGGCGGCAUGCCUAACACAUGCAAGUCGAACGAGACCUUCGGGUCUAGUGGCGCCCGGGUGCGUAACGCGUGGGAACCUGCCCUUAGGUUCGGAAUAACUCCCCGAAAGGGGUGCUAAUACCGGAUAAUGUCUUCGGACCAAAGAUUUAUCGCCUUUGGAUGGGCCCGCGUUGGAUUAGCUAGUUGGUAGGGUAAAAGCCUACCAAGGCGACGAUCCAUAGCUGGUCUGAGAGGAUGAUCAGCCACACUGGGACUGAGACACGGCCCAGACUCCUACGGGAGGCAGCAGUGGGGAAUAUUGGACAAUGGGCGAAAGCCUGAUCCAGCAAUGCCGCGUGAGUGAUGAAGGCCUUAGGGUUGUAAAGCGCUUUUACCCGGGAUGAUAAUGACAGUACCGGGAGAAUAAGCUCCGGCUAACUCCGUG
rnacentral:rRNA from 1 species